CCCGCCGAACGCGGCGCGGAGGGAGGAAAUCAAUUAAAGCAAUUAACAUCGCUCCCACAGAAACGGCGGCACCGAGGCCACGCCUUGGCCACGCCCACAUGGCCACGCCCACAUGGCCACGCCCUGCGCGACCACGCCCCUUUUGUCCCUCAGCGCUUCCCGUAGCGGCGCCGUCACCGCGGCGGGAGCGGCCCCGGCGGGCCCGGUGAACCAGCUUCGUUUUGCUCACCAAUCCCACCGGGGCAGCAGCUCCUCCUGAGAAAUUCAGGAAAAUGCUGAGAAGCCUGAAAGGACUCGUGCGCCAUUCUCUGAAGCUGGAGCGUGGCCUGUGCCCUGCACACGGCCAGGGCUGGCCUGAGCUCUGUGUCCAGCCAGGAUGUCCCAGCAGGAAAGCCCCGAGCGAUUUUCCACACCAGCGAGAGCGACCCGGCCAAGCACACGGAGCAGCACGAGGGCCGUCUGUACAACAUCCCCCUGGAGGAGGUGAAGGCUGUGUUCCCCCAUGGGCUGCCCCAUCGUUUCCAGCAGCAGAUCCGGA
rnacentral:lncRNA from 14 species